rnacentral:rRNA from 1 species
UACGGAGGGUGCAAGCGUUAUCCGGAUUCACUGGGUUUAAAGGGUGCGUAGGUGGGCAGGUAAGUCAGUGGUGAAAUCUCUGGGCUUAACCCGGAAACUGCCGUUGAUACUAUCUGUCUUGAAUGUAGUGGAGGUGAGCGGAAUAUGUCAUGUAGCGGUGAAAUGCUUAGAUAUGACAUAGAACAUCGAUUGCGAAGGCGGCUCGCUACACUAUGAUUGACACUGAGGCACGAAAGCGUGGGGAUCAAACAGG